GAGAUUCCCCCAGUAGCGGCGAGCGAACGGGGAGCAGCCCAGAGCCUGAAUCAGUGUGUGUGUUAGUGGAAGCGUCUGGAAAGGCGUGCGAUACAGGGUGACAGCCCCGUACACAAAAAUGCACAUACUGUGAGCUCGAUGAGUAGGGCGGGACACGUGGUAUCCUGUCUGAAUAUGGGGGGACCAUCCUCCAAGGCUAAAUACUCCUGACUGACCGAUAGUGAACCAGUACCGUGAGGGAAAGGCGAAAAGAACCCCGGCGAGGGGAGUGAAAAAGAACCUGAAACCGUGUACGUACAAGCAGUGGGAGCCUCUUAAUGGGGUGACUGCGUACCUUUUGUAUAAUGGGUCAGCGACUUAUAUUCUGUAGCAAGGUUAACCGAAUAGGGGAGCCGAAGGGAAACCGAGUCUUAACUGGGCGUUAAGUUGCAGGGUAUAGACCCGAAACCCGGUGAUCUAGCCAUGGGCAGGUUGAAGGUUGGGUAACACUAACUGGAGGACCGAACCGACUAAUGUUGAAAAAUUAGCGGAUGACUUGUGGCUGGGGGUGAAAGGCCAAUCAAACCGGGAGAUAGCUGGUUCUCCCCGAAAGCUAUUUAGGUAGCGCCUCGUGAAUUCAUCUCCGGGGGUAGAGCACUGUUUCGGCAAGGGGGUCAUCCCGACUUACCAACCCGAUGCAAACUGCGAAUACCGGAGAAUGUUAUCACGGGAGACACACGGCGGGUGCUAACGUCCGU
rnacentral:rRNA from 1 species